rnacentral:rRNA from 1 species
UACGUAGGGUGCAAGCGUUAAUCGGAAUUACUGGGCGUAAAGCGUGCGCAGGCGGUUUUGUAAGUCUGUCGUGAAAGCCCCGGGCUCAACCUGGGAAUUGCGAUGGAGACUGCAAGGCUUGAAUCUGGCAGAGGGGGGUAGAAUUCCACGUGUAGCAGUGAAAUGCGUAGAGAUGUGGAGGAACACCGAUGGCGAAGGCAGCCCCCUGGGUCAAGAUUGACGCUCAUGCACGAAAAGCGUGGGGAGCAAACAGG